rnacentral:rRNA from 1 species
GAAGAAGUGAAUUAAGGGCAUUUGGUGGAUGCCUUGGCAUGCACAGGCGAAGAAGGACGUGAUACGCUGCGAAAAGCCGUGGGGAGCUGCGAAUAAGCUUUGAUCCAUGGAUCUCCGAAUGGGGCAACCCACCUUAAAUACCUAGAAAAUCUGUUUUGCAGACACCUUGAAUAAGACUUUUGAUCGGUUUGCAUGGGACUUCCCAUACAGACCGUUAGGUCGUCGCCAAUCGUUUGGCGCGCCGUCCGCAGGCCUUCGGCCGUGAGGACAAAAGAGACCCCGGCGAUACCGGGUUCAGGGGGUCGGCAAAAGAGGUUUCUAGGUAUUGUUAUAAGGUAUCUUACUUUCGAAUACAUAGGGGUAAGAAGCGAACGCAGGGAACUGAAACAUCUAAGUACCUGCAGGAAAGGACAUCAACCGAGACUCCGCAAGUAGUGGCGAGCGAACGCGGACCAGGCCAGUGGCAAUGAUGAAUAAAGCGGAACGAUCUGGAAAGGUCGGCCAUAGAGGGUGAUAGCCCCUUACGCGUAGAACAGUCAUUGUCCUUGAGUAGGGCGGGACACGUGAAAUCCUGUCUGAACAUGGGGAGACCACUCUCCAAGCCUAAGUAGU